rnacentral:lncRNA from 12 species
UAAAAGUUUUCAGUCAAUAACAUUAAGUAGAAAACCCAGCCGAGAAAUCCGUCAGGUUUUUUUGGGCAGUUCAUGCGAAGAAUGAAAGACAAGAUUUCAGCUGACAAACUCUUUGUUGUGACUGUUCUUCCAGUUCCACUUGUAACUGACAACAGAAAAAAACCAUUGAUUCCUUCCACAUUUUCUCAGUUGUGACAAUGGCUCAGUUAUAAAAUCACAGAAUCAUUAAGGCUGGAGACGCUCUCUGAGAUGAUCAAGCAUUAACCCAACGCUGCUGAUGAAAUAAUUCUGUGGUUUAUUAUUCCUGUCAGAGUUAUGAUUUCCUGUCCUAAUUAGAUUUCCACAUGAGAAUUACUGCAUUUUGAAGAAGUUGAAAAACCUGACACGUCUCACCUCGAGAGGAAGAGCUGAAAAACAAAACGCUCAGCGGAGUUUGGAGAGGACCAAAAGGAGCCACAAAACCAGGAUCUCCUCCAGAUCUGCCACAUGGAUCAUUAACUUCAUCUGGAAGGAAUAUUUGGGUGCCAUAGAGGGAGCUGGGGAGAGACCAAAGCAUCCUGCCCUCCUCUGCACCAGUGAGAAGAACUCCACAGGUUUCUUUCAGGACACUCA